AGUUCGCGGAGAGGGAAGAAUAUGGCCGCCGGGUGUGGUGAGGGCGACGCGCUUGCAGUCGCCGUCUCUUGCUUCCCCGUCCUCUGACAUCGCCUGCAGCCGAGCGGGCCCGUUCCGCCGGAGCUGAGGACCAGGUAUUCAAAUAAAGUUAAUUGCAGCUUUCUGUGAAAAUGUCAGUUUUGAUAUCACAGAGCGUCAUAAAUUAUGUAGAGGAAGAAAACAUUCCUGCUCUGAAAGCUCUUCUUGAAAAAUGCAAAGAUGUAGAUGAGAGAAAUGAGUGUGGCCAGACUCCACUGAUGAUAGCUGCCGAACAAGGCAAUCUGGAAAUAGUGAAGGAAUUAAUUAAGAAUGGAGCUAACUGCAAUCUGGAAGAUUUGGAUAAUUGGACAGCACUUAUAUCUGCAUCGAAAGAAGGGCAUGUGCACAUCGUAGAGGAACUACUGAAAUGUGGGGUUAACUUGGAGCACCGUGAUAUGGGAGGAUGGACAGCUCUUAUGUGGGCAUGUUACAAAGGCCGUACUGACGUAGUAGAGUUGCUUCUUUCUCAUGGUGCCAAUCCAAGUGUCACUGGUCUGCAGUACAGUGUUUACCCAAUCAUUUGGGCAGCAGGGAGAGGCCAUGCAGAUAUAGUUCAUCUUUUACUGCAAAAUGGUGCUAAAGUCAACUGCUCUGAUAAGUAUGGAACCACCCCUUUAGUUUGGGCUGCACGAAAGGGUCAUUUGGAAUGUGUGAAACAUUUAUUGGCCAUGGGAGCUGAUGUGGAUCAAGAAGGAGCUAAUUCAAUGACUGCACUUAUUGUGGCAGUGAAAGGAGGUUACACACAGUCAGUAAAAGAAAUUUUGAAGAGGAAUCCAAAUGUAAACUUAACAGAUAAAGAUGGAAAUACAGCUUUGAUGAUUGCAUCAAAGGAGGGACAUACGGAGAUUGUGCAGGAUCUGCUCGACGCUGGAACAUAUGUGAACAUACCUGACAGGAGUGGGGAUACUGUGUUGAUUGGCGCUGUCAGAGGUGGUCAUGUUGAAAUUGUUCGAGCGCUUCUCCAAAAAUAUGCUGAUAUAGACAUUAGAGGACAGGAUAAUAAAACUGCUUUGUAUUGGGCUGUUGAGAAAGGAAAUGCAACAAUGGUGAGAGAUAUCUUACAGUGCAAUCCUGACACUGAAAUAUGCACAAAGGAUGGUGAAACGCCACUUAUAAAGGCUACCAAGAUGAGAAACAUUGAAGUGGUGGAGCUGCUGCUAGAUAAAGGUGCUAAAGUGUCUGCUGUAGAUAAGAAAGGAGAUACUCCCUUGCAUAUUGCUAUUCGUGGAAGGAGCCGGAAACUGGCAGAACUGCUUUUAAGAAAUCCCAAAGAUGGGCGAUUACUUUAUAGGCCCAACAAAGCAGGCGAGACUCCUUAUAAUAUUGACUGUAGCCAUCAGAAGAGUAUUUUAACUCAAAUAUUUGGAGCCAGACACUUGUCUCCUACUGAAACAGACGGUGACAUGCUUGGAUAUGAUUUAUAUAGCAGUGCCCUGGCAGAUAUUCUCAGUGAGCCUACCAUGCAGCCACCCAUUUGUGUGGGGUUAUAUGCACAGUGGGGAAGUGGGAAAUCUUUCUUACUCAAGAAACUAGAAGACGAAAUGAAAACCUUCGCCGGACAACAGAUUGAGCCUCUCUUUCAGUUCUCAUGGCUCAUAGUGUUUCUUACCCUGCUACUUUGUGGAGGGCUUGGUUUAUUGUUUGCCUUCACGGUCCACCCAAAUCUUGGAAUAGCAGUGUCACUGAGCUUCUUGGCUCUCUUAUAUAUAUUCUUUAUUGUCAUUUACUUUGGUGGACGAAGAGAAGGAGAGAGUUGGAAUUGGGCCUGGGUCCUCAGCACUAGAUUGGCAAGACAUAUUGGAUAUUUGGAACUCCUCCUUAAAUUGAUGUUUGUGAAUCCACCUGAGUUGCCAGAGCAGACUACUAAAGCUUUACCUGUGAGGUUUUUGUUUACAGAUUACAAUAGACUGUCCAGUGUAGGUGGAGAAACUUCUCUGGCUGAAAUGAUUGCAACCCUCUCGGAUGCUUGUGAAAGAGAGUUUGGCUUUUUGGCAACCAGGCUUUUUCGAGUAUUCAAGACUGAAGAUACUCAGGGUAAAAAGAAAUGGAAAAAAACAUGUUGUCUCCCAUCUUUUGUCAUCUUCCUUUUUAUCAUUGGCUGCAUUAUAUCUGGAAUUACUCUUCUGGCUAUAUUUAGAGUUGACCCAAAGCAUCUGACUGUAAAUGCUGUCCUCAUAUCAAUCGCAUCUGUAGUGGGAUUGGCCUUUGUGUUGAACUGUCGUACAUGGUGGCAAGUGCUGGACUCGCUCCUGAAUUCCCAAAGAAAACGCCUCCAUAAUGCAGCCUCCAAACUGCACAAAUUGAAAAGUGAAGGAUUCAUGAAAGUUCUUAAAUGUGAAGUGGAAUUGAUGGCCAGGAUGGCAAAAACCAUUGACAGCUUCACUCAGAAUCAGACAAGGCUGGUGGUCAUCAUCGAUGGAUUAGAUGCCUGUGAGCAGGACAAAGUCCUUCAGAUGCUGGACACUGUCCGAGUUCUGUUUUCAAAAGGCCCGUUCAUUGCCAUUUUUGCAAGUGAUCCACAUAUUAUCAUAAAGGCAAUUAACCAGAACCUCAAUAGUGUGCUUCGGGAUUCAAAUAUAAAUGGCCAUGACUACAUGCGCAACAUAGUCCACUUGCCUGUGUUCCUUAAUAGUCGUGGACUAAGCAAUGCAAGAAAAUUUCUCGUAACUUCAGCAACAAAUGGAGACGUUCCAUGCUCAGAUACUACAGGGAUACAGGAAGAUGCUGACAGAAGAGUUUCACAGAACAGCCUUGGGGAGAUGACAAAACUUGGUAGCAAGACAGCCCUCAAUAGACGGGACACUUACCGAAGAAGGCAGAUGCAGAGGACCAUCACUCGCCAGAUGUCCUUUGAUCUUACAAAACUGCUGGUUACCGAGGACUGGUUCAGUGACAUCAGUCCCCAGACCAUGAGAAGAUUACUUAAUAUUGUUUCUGUGACAGGACGAUUACUGAGAGCCAAUCAGAUUAGUUUCAACUGGGACAGGCUUGCUAGCUGGAUCAACCUUACUGAGCAGUGGCCAUACCGGACUUCAUGGCUCAUAUUAUAUUUGGAAGAGACUGAAGGUAUUCCAGAUCAAAUGACAUUAAAAACCAUCUACGAAAGAAUAUCAAAGAAUAUUCCAACAACUAAGGAUGUUGAGCCACUUCUUGAAAUUGAUGGAGAUAUAAGAAAUUUUGAAGUGUUUUUGUCUUCAAGGACCCCAGUUCUUGUGGCUCGAGAUGUAAAAGUCUUUUUGCCAUGCACUGUAAACCUAGAUCCCAAACUACGGGAAAUUAUUGCAGAUGUUCGUGCUGCCAGAGAGCAGAUCAGUAUUGGAGGACUGGCGUACCCCCCGCUCCCUCUACAUGAGGGUCCUCCUAGGGCGCCAUCAGGGUACAGCCAGCCCCCAUCCGUGUGCUCUUCCACGUCCUUCAAUGGGCCCUUCGCAGGUGGAGUGGUGUCACCACAGCCUCACAGCAGCUAUUACAGCGGCAUGACGGGCCCUCAGCAUCCCUUCUACAACAGGCCAUUCUUUGCCCCAUACCUUUACACGCCAAGGUAUUACCCUGGCGGCUCCCAACAUCUCAUCUCACGUCCAUCAGUAAAAACGAGUUUGCCCAGAGAUCAGAACAAUGGCCUAGAAGUUAUCAAGGAGGAUGCUGCUGAGGGGCUUUCUUCACCCACAGACUCCUCGAGGGGGUCAGGCCCAGCCCCAGGCCCAGUGGUAUUACUGAAUUCACUGAAUGUGGAUGCAGUAUGUGAGAAGCUGAAACAAAUAGAAGGGCUGGACCAGAGUAUGCUGCCUCAGUAUUGUACCACGAUCAAAAAGGCAAACAUAAAUGGCCGUGUGUUAGCUCAGUGUAACAUUGAUGAGCUGAAGAAAGAGAUGAAUAUGAAUUUUGGAGACUGGCACCUUUUCAGAAGCACAGUACUAGAAAUGAGAAACGCAGAAAGCCACGUGGUCCCUGAAGACCCACGUUUCCUCAGUGAGAGCAGCAGUGGCCCAGCCCCGCACGGUGAGCCUGCUCGCCGCGCUUCCCACAACGAGCUGCCUCACACCGAGCUCUCCAGCCAGACGCCCUACACACUCAACUUCAGCUUCGAAGAGCUGAACACGCUUGGCCUGGAUGAAGGUGCCCCUCGUCACAGUAAUCUAAGUUGGCAGGCGCACGCCGACACUGGGCGGAAGGGAAGAAACCAGUGGGGAUACUGUUCUUUUGCGGGGGCAGCAUGAGCAGACUCAGGAAGAAAAUGCUGGCCUUGAGAUAGAUAGCUCUUCAGAGGAUCCAGAUUAAACUAAGUUCGAGUCACUUCUCACAGUUGACUUCCUCACCAAAUAAUAAGGGGGUGAAGAAGACUCGGCCUACCUACUACUCAGUAAUCCUGCUGUCCAGUCGACUGGAGAAGAGAGAUUUGUUCACCUCUACUAGUUUUAUUUGUUCUUAGUAGUUGUAGAAUUUAAAUUGGUUUUAAUGAAAUGUUCCUUUUAUGAAAUUUUAAAUAAAAGCCAUUUAGUGUAUAUUUAGUAUAGCAAGAAGCAUGUGAAUAAGCUCCAUAUAACCUGACAUUGCGCAUCUUACAGCAUCCUCUUGGUCAGAUGUCUAAUAAAAAGAUUGUUAUUUUCAAAUUUAUCAUAGUUCCUGCAACUUGCACUUUUUAAAGCUGUGUUUGUGAGAAUUUAUAGACUGCAUAUCGCUAUACUUGAUGGAAAUUAAACUAUUUUUAUUUUGAAAGAAGUUAAUUUAUAUUUUAAGUUCUGUAUGUUUUUCUCCUUUUACCUGAGUUCUUUUCAGUCAUUUUGUGUUGUUAAGUUUUUUUUAGGUUGUCAUAUAUUUUUCUUUUUUAGGUUACCAUCCUAGUUUACUGUAAAACAUUUCUUAGAGCAAUAGAUUGGGAAAGAGCCUCGAGAUAUCUUUUAGACCAAAUCCUAGAUCUCAGAAAGCCAGUGGACAUUCAGUAAAUACUUGUUGGCCAGGUGCCGUGGCUCACGCCUAUAAUCCCAGCACUUCAGGAGGCCAAGGUGGGAGGAUGGCUUGAGCCCAGAAGUUCAAGACCAGCCUGGGUAACAUAAUGGGAUUCCAUCUCUACAAAAAUAAAAAUAAAAAAAUUAGCCAGGAAUGGUGGUGUGCACCUGUAGUCCCAGCUAUUCGGGAGGCUGAGGUAGGAGGAUUCCCUGAGCCUGAGAGGUUGAGGAUGCAGUGAGUGGUGAUCACACUACUGCACUCCAGCCUGGGUUACAGGGUGAGGCCCUGUCUCAAAUAAAUAAAUAAUUAAAACUUGUUAAGUGAAUGAAUAAACUAGGGGGGCAACUCUGAGAGUGUCUGCCCACAAAUCCUACACAGUGCCUUCAAAUUACUGGGUGCAGUGGCUCACACCUGUAAUCCCAGCACUUUGGGAGUCUGAGAUGGGCAGAUCAUCUGAGGUCAGGAGUUCAAGACCAACCUAGCCAACAUGGUGAAACCCCGUCUCUACUAAAAUACAAAAAUUAGGCGGGCGUGGUGGCAGGUGUCUAUGGCCCCAGCUACUCAGGAGGCUGAGGCAAGAGAAGCACUUGAACGUGGGAGACGGAGGUUGCAGUGAGCCGAGAUCGCACCGCUGCACUCCAACCUGGGCGACAGAGUGAGACUCCGUCUCAUAAAAUACUGAAUGUAAAUCCCUUAACAUUGUGCUGUUGUGCCACAGCUCCUUACAGGUCCCACCUUCCCUCUCACUUUCUGCCCACCCUGUCACCUGCCUGGCCCCUGUAAGCUUUUCUGCUGUGCUUUUGGAAAUCUUUCAACCACAAUAGCAUGCUUUGUUGCAAACUCUUAGGGACCUAAGCCAGGCAUGGUGGCAUGCACUUGUAAUCCCAGCUACUUGGGGAGGCUGAGGCGGGAGGAUCACUUGAGCCCAGGAGUUCAAGACCAGCCUGGGCAACAUAGCGAGAACAUGUCUCAAAAAGGAAAAAAAUGGGGGAAAAAACCCUCCCAGGGACAGAUAUCCACAGCCAGUCUUGAUAAGCUCCAUCAUUUUAAAGUGCAAGGCGGUGCCUCCCAUGUGGAUGAUUAUUUAAUCCUCUUGUACUUUGUUUAGUCCUUUGUGGAAAUGCCCAUCUUAUAAAUUAAUAGAAUUCUAGAAUCUAAUUAAAAUGGUUCAACUCUACAUUUUACUUUAGGAUAAUAUCAGGACCAUCACAGAAUGUCUGAGAUGUGGAUUUACCCUAUCUGUAGCUCACUUCUUCAACCAUUCUUUUAGCAAGGCUAGUUAUCUUCAGUGACAACCCCUUGCUGCCCUCUACUAUCUCCUCCCUCAGAUGGACUACUCUGAUUAAGCUUGAGCUAGAAUAAGCAUGUUAUCCCGGGAUUUCAUAUGGAAUAUUUUAUACAUGAGUGAGCCAUUAUGAGUUGUUUGAAAAUUUAUUAUGUUGAGGGAGGGUAACCGCUGUAACAACCAUCACCAAAUCUAAUCGACUGAAUACAUUUGACGUUUAUUUCUUGUUCACCUGACAGUUCAGUGUUACCUAAAUUUACAUGAAGACCCAGAGGCCCACGCUCCUUCAUUUUGGGCUCCACCGACCUCCAAGGUUUCAGGGCCCUCUGCCCCGCCUUCUGCACCCACAGGGGAAGAGAGUGGAGGAUGCACACGCCCAGGCCUGGAAGUGACGCAUGUGGCUUCCCCGUCCACAGACUUCACCCACAGUCCAUUGGCCUUCUUAAGUCAUGGACUCCUGCUGAGCUGCCAGGGUGCAUGGGAAAUCCAUGUGACUGUGUGCCCUGGAGGAAGGGGAGCGUUUCGGUGAGCACACAGGAGUCUUUGCCACUAGACGCUGAUGAGGAUUCCCCACAGGCGAUGAAGCAUGGAGACUCAUCUUGUAACAAACAGAUGAGUUGUUGACAUCUCUUAAGUUUACUUUGUGUGCAGUUUUUAUUCAGAUAGGAAAGGCUGUUAAAAUCUUAACACCUAACUGGAAGAAGGGUUUUAGAGAAGUGUGGUUUUCAGUAAGCCAGUUCUUUCCACAAUCCAAGAAACGAAAUAAAUUUCCAGCAUGGAGCAGUUGGCAGGUAAGGUUUUUGUUGUGGUCUCGCCCAGGCUUGAGUGUAACCGGUGUGGUCAUAGCUCACUACAUUCUCAAACUCCUGGCCUUAAGUCAUCCUCCUGCCUCAGCCUCCCAAAGGCAAGUAAGGUUAAGAAUAGGGGAAAGGUGAAGUUUCACAGCUUUUCUAGAAUUCUUUUUAUUCAAGGGACUCUCAGAUCAUCAAACCCACCCAGAAUCUGCUCAAUUUUCAAGAUUUGCUUAUAAAUAUUUAUAAUAUAAACACUCAAUUGCUAUCUGUUUUUUAGGUUCUCCUCUCUCUCCCAGAACAGUGGUAACAGGAACUCUUGGGGGCUUCUCCCUGUUCUUGCAGAUGUGGCAGGAUGUGUUCCUGGGGGGCUCCCAUGCCAGUCCACACCCUCUGUGGUGUAAGCAGGGAUUGGUAAUUAAUGAGAUGCUAAACCCUCCAGAAGUGAGCGCUCAUGUCCCAGAAACACAUCUUCCACCUCAGCAGCCAGUGGGAAAACUAGACUUUGUGUCUGCAUAUUUGUUCUUAAACACACUCUUCUGCAGUCUAACUCUGCUGACCACUUUCCAGUUUGCUCAUAUCAGAAUUUCUUCGGUUCUAAGAUGCAUAUUUUCUUUUUGUAUUCUGACUUGUUAGAAAUUAGAAUAUGUCUUGCAGUCAAUAAAAUCUAUGACAACAUUUUUUUUUCUUAAUGGUUCCUAAAACUCCUGUAGUUGAUGGUGUCUUGCUUAGGUUUAAUGAAAGAGAUUUUAAUAUAUGGCGUGGUUAUGUGGAGUUGUAUCUCUAUCAGUAUUAAUGGGCUCGGGAUGAUUUAUAUUCAACUGAACCCCCAAAUUCAACAUUUUGUGUUGAAUAUUUAUUUUAUCAGUUAUUCUUUAUCCUGUACUCAUUUUGGAUACUUACUAAAGUAUUGUAUGUAUUUGUUAUAAUAAAAUGGCUUGCCGUGUUUGAACACACUGUGUAUCUGACAAUGUUCUAAGACCUAAUUUGAUCUUCAUGACAACUGCAUAAAAUAGUUACUAUUAUUCUCAAUUCACAAAUGAGAAAGUGAGACACAGAGAUGCUAAGGAAUUGCCCAAAGUCACACAGCUACUGAGUGGCAGAGCCAGGGUCUGGGCCCAGCCAGUGUGGCUCCAGGUGCCGCCCACUCUUGACGUGAUACUUACCGUCAAUGCUCCUUACCAGUUAGGGAUGAGCUGAUUCUCAUAUUUUUCCAAGAUACAUUUUAAUUUUAGCUUUAUUUGCUGUAUCAUCAUCAUCAGUAUCAUCAUCAUCAUCAGUUUUCUUGUUUUAAAAUAGGGUUUGGAGUCUCUUCAAGGCUUUCUGUUUUGGAAAAGUAAAACUUAAAAAUCUAUAGCCAUGUGAAUUAUACUUAUGGAGAAAAAGAGUCUUGUUUUAUUAACAUCAGACAUCUUUGUUCCUACUAAUUAUUUUGGAGUAAUGUUCAGUAUCGGGCUAAUGAUCGAUGGAUAUCACUCAUCCAAUUAUGAUGCAUGGAUUAGACCACGGCCUUAAACUUUGUACAUAGUGUUGAAUAAAUUCAUCUUAUUUGCAGUCUUAUUGUCAUCUAGCUUUGAUACACUUGCCCUUUCAUAUGUCUCUUGUCACUAUUCUGUGUAAGAUUAUAAUCCCAAAUACCACUAUAUGUAUUUUUCUUCAUAUUCUAUUAUUGAACAGUAUUAAUGCUUAAUGUUAAUAUAUAAGUAAUAUAUACAUUUUAAAAAUUAUUACUGCUGUAGAGUUUUUUUUUUAAAUGAUUGUGGUCUCAUAAGGAAAAAAG